rnacentral:rRNA from 1 species
UACAGAGGGUGCGAGCGUUAAUCGGAAUUACUGGGCGUAAAGCGUGCGUAGACGGUUAUUUAAGUCGGAUGUGAAAGCCCCGGGCUCAACCUGGGAAUUGCAUUCGAGACUGAAUAGCUAGGGUGCGGUAGAGGGAAGCGGAAUUCCUGGUGUAGCGGUGAAAUGCGUAGAUAUCAAGAGGAACACCUGCGGCGAAGGCGGGUUGCUGGGCCGACACUGACGCUGAGGCGCGAAAGCUAGGGGAGCGAACGGG